GACGAACGCUGGCGGCGUGCUUAACACAUGCAAGUCGAGCGGAAAGGCCCUGCUUUUGUGGGGUGCUCGAGUGGCGAACGGGUGAGUAACACGUGAGUAACCUGCCCUUUACUUUGGGAUAACUUCAGGAAACUCGGGCUCAUACCGGGUAGGAGCUCCUGCUGCAUGGUGGGGGUUGGAAAAAUUCGGCGGUUGGGGAUGGACGCGCGGUUUAUCAGCUUGUUGGUGGGGUAGUGGGUUACCAAGGCUUUGACGGGUAGCCGGCCUGGGAGGGUGACCGGGCUCAAUGGGACUGGGAGAGGGGCCAGAGUGCUACGGGAGGCAGGGGUGGGGGAUUUUGCGCGAUGGGCGGAGUGCGGAAGGAGCGACGCCGGGUGCGGAAUGACGGCUGUCGGGGAGGAAACCGCGUGCGCCUGUGACGAAGAGUGAGUGACGGUAAUGGGUAAAGAAGCACCGGCUAACUACGUG
rnacentral:rRNA from 1 species